rnacentral:rRNA from 1 species
CCUACGGGAGGCAGCAGUGAGGAAUAUUGGUCAAUGGACGAGAGUCUGAACCAGCCAAGUAGCGUGAAGGAUGACUGCCCUAUGGGUUGUAAACUUCUUUUAUAUGGGAAUAAAACGUUCCACGUGUGGGAUUUUGUAUGUACCAUAUGAAUAAGGAUCGGCUAACUCCGUGCCAGCAGCCGCGGUAAUACGGAGGAUCCGAGCGUUAUCCGGAUUUAUUGGGUUUAAAGGGCGCGUAGGUGGGUUGUUAAGUCAGUUGUGAAAGUUUGGGGCUCAACCGUAAAAUUGCAGUUGAAACUGGCAGUCUUGAGUACAGUAGAGGUGGGCGGAAUUCGUGGUGUAGCGGUGAAAUGCUUAGAUAUCACGAAGAACUCCGAUUGCGAAGGCAGUUCACUGGACUGCUACUGACGCUGAGGCUCGAAAGUGUGGGUAUCAAACAGGAUUAGAUACCCCAGUAGUC